UUUUGCAUCCCUGUGGGUACUCACUCACCUGUGGGACUGUGGGUAGGACCAAGAACAAAACCACUGAGCCUGCAAUGAAUGUUUGUGCUGAGGACCGAGACCAGCUGUGUCAAUGUUAACUGCUGGUUCCAGGAUACUCUUUCCCAGGUGGAUGAGGGUGAAAACAAUAAAGAAUGUCACUCAUUGCUUCAGGGAAUUCCUGAAAACCAAUUAUCCAGAGCAGGUGAUGCUGGCUGUCUGUCCUGGGGACACGGACACUGAGGGUGGCUGAGUCAGCUCAUAGGAGGCCACGGAUCCUACAGGAGAGAAAACGGGAGAGAAAAGGCUUGAAACUGAGGAGCUGAACUCCAAGUAAAUCUUCCCACGUGCCUGGCCUGGACACAGAUCCAGGGAUGAAAGAGCCCUAAGGCAGUGUGAGCACAUGAGCACUGUGUGGGGGGAUUUCAGCCCCGCCGAGCCCAUCCACCUGCAGCAGGGUCAUGAGCAUCCUGCCCACCACAGGCGGGGGCCCUGCUGAGCUCAGAGUCAGGGCCAGGCUGGACCCAGAGCCCUGGGACUGGACCAGUGGCUAGGACCCUAGGGGCAGCACCUGUGCAGUAAGCAAGGACGCCGAGGAAGAGAGGGAUCCAUGCCAUGGCUGAGGCACCUCCGAUGCUGCUUCCUGAGGCCCAGGCUGGGCAGGUUCUUCCAGGCCUCUCUUAUCCCCUUGCUGGAAAGAGCGGCCCGUGAUGCAAAUCAGCAGUCAGGGGCUGCUGCAGGAGGAGCUGUGUGGUUUCCAGAGAAGGGCUCAGCCCCAAGGGACAGAGAGAGAGGGGGCCCCUAAAGACCCACCCUCAGCACACAGAAUUCUCAUUCUCCUUCUGGUCCCAUCAUCUGGGUUGACAUCGUCACUGUAGGUUGUGUUAUGGCCUCACUCCUGAGCUGAUCUGGCCAUGCAGAACUCUGAGAGGAAUUCUUUGUGCGUUUUCCAGGUAGUAUGAUGUCCUGCCCAUGUGGCCAUUCCUUGUCCUGCGUGGAGAUGGCCAGGGACUGACUUACAAUGGCGACUGAGGGAUUAUUCUGAGAUCUAAGGUGACACCGUAAGGCUGGCACACAUGCAGGGACCUGCCAUUGCUUCUGAGUGGUGCUUUCCACAAUCAAACUUCACCCUUGUCAUGUGCACACGGAGUGUUGAAAGACUCAGGAGAUGCUGUCCCUGAUUCCCUGGUCUGCAGACUGCUGGUGCCAAUGGAGGAAAUUUUUCUCUUCUCUUUGUGACUCAUGCCUGCCUCAAUACCAGGACCAGCGUACAGUGGUGACUCCUGCACCAAAGUCAGAGACAGAAGAACAUCCACCCAUCAAAUGUUAAUCCAGACCCACUGUGGUCUGGGACACGUUCCAUGCGGUGAAUUCAGCAGGAACAAGACACAGCCUUCUUGAAAUACAGGACCUAGGAACACAAAAUCUGCAAACUGCACUUAACACAAAAGGGAAGGGGCUGAGAUGGGGAGGAACAAUUCCAAGGUCACUUGGCAAGGAGAGAGAAAAGGAAGACGAGAAAUGCUCUGGACCUGUAACAGUAAGUCUUCUGAGUGUCCUGGGACCAGCCUGCCAGGGAGGGCAUGGGAAAAUCCUCAGCCCAAAUUCUCAGCCCAAAUCCCUCCCUAUGGAGACGGCAUCUCAGUCAGCUCUUUUAGCUGCCUGUAGGGGGCGCGCCUGCCACACUCUGGGUUGAAAGGGAGAGAAAAGACGGUUGAUUCCCAGCUCAGGAACCAAGCUGUCUAGAGACAUUUUCUUUUCUUUUUUUUUUUUAAUUUAUUAUUAUUAUACUUUAAGUUUUAGGGUACAUGUGCACAAUGUGCAGGUUAGUUACAUAUGUAUACAUGUGCCAUGCUGGUGCGCUGCACCCACUAACUCGUCAUCUAGCAUUAGAUAUAUCUCCCAAUGCUAUCCCUCGCCCCUCCCCCCACCCCACAACAGUCC
rnacentral:lncRNA from 10 species